GUUGGUGAACCAGCGGAGGGAUCAUUAACGAGUUUACAAACUCCCAAACCCUAUGUGAACCUUACCAUAUCGUUGCUUCGGCGGGCUCUCAAGCCCCGGCGCGCGGAAACGCACGCGGGGGUUGCUCGCCGGAGGACCCAAACUCUUAUGUCUUUAGUGGUUUUCUCCUCUGAGUGACAAACAAACAAAUAAAUAAAAACUUUCAACAACGGAUCUCUUGGUUCUG
rnacentral:misc_RNA from 1 species